GGGGUUGUACUGGUUUCGACGGGGGUUUUGAAAUUGCGGCAGCCAUUCGCAGCCCGGGACUGCGUCAAAAACCUGGAAAAAAAAUAAACGCAAACGAUAAUUACGAAUUAGCAGCUGCCUAAUUGCAGCGCUUGUCGGCUCUAAGCAUCCCGCGGCUUGGAAUACCGGCAUCAUCUUAGCGGGGACCUCCGCCUUCAAAGCUUUGAGAUGGCGGAAGAUUCAUGAAGCUACCGAUACCGGAAGCCUGUCAAUCGGCGGCCGGUAGAGGGAACGGUGGACUUCGGGUCCACAAAAAAGAUUGACUGUAAUGGGAGAAGCUGCAAUGGAUAGGCUUUCGGACAGGGGUUCAACUCCCCUCAACUCCAUCA
rnacentral:tmRNA from 1 species